AGAAAUCCAAUAAGAGGAGUUUUAACGAGUGGGUAACCCAUGUAGGCAACUGAGGCUCAGAUUUUUUCUGAGGACUCAUAGAGGACAUUCUUAAAACUGUGCCAAUGAGGGACUGAGAUACCAGAUUAUUUAUUCAGUGAAUCUUCUCCCAUAUUGAUUAAGGGAUGCCCUUGGAGGCAUUAAAUUCUUGUCACUUCUAGGCUACUAUUCACCAGAACUGAGUAAAACUACCAUGGCACUGUAGAAGUCCCCAGGAAAGGAGUGGGAGAUGGAGUACUGCGGAAUAAUUAGAGAUUUUCAAGAAAUCAGGAUUCUCUGAGGACCAGAUCUAGUUUGGUGAUGACUAAAAGGGCCAUGGACAGGAAAAGAUCAUUUAAAGAUUUCAGAAGGUCAAGAAAACUAAAGAAAGACUGUGAACAUCUAUGCACGUUUACAAGCUGUCAAUAAACAAGCUGAAGAAUAUGCCAAAGGCCCAGAUGCUACUUCUGGCAAGGCAGUGAUAAUUCCUCUGUCUUCCA
rnacentral:antisense_RNA from 1 species